AUUAACCAAAGUUUAACAUUAUCAACAUGGAGGGCCUCUGUGUGACUGCGUUUACUGCCUGGGUUAGUAAAUGGCUCAUGUGUCAUUUCUCAUAUCCCUCACCCAAAUGGGCCGCGUGACUGUCCCAUGCAAUCGCUCUUCACUGCGCCACACUGUGUUAAUGGAAAGGGGCUGAAAUGGCUUUAAUUAUUUAUUGUAUGCCCAUCCUGAUUGUGUUUGACCAACAGAGGGUGAAGAGUCGAGGCUUAGAAGAAGUCAUCGUUCUCAAUGUGGACACCAACACGCUGGAAAGUCCCUUUGACGACUUUAAGAGGAUCCCCCCCGAUGUGAUGUCCCAGCUGAAGAUAGGCCUGAAACGGCAGGCCGUGUCUCCAGGCUGUGGGGUGUCCAGGGCCUUUUAAGAACACAGGCGCUGCUGUUCGGGGGAUACCGAGAGGCGCUACACACUCAGGACGGUGAAGUAAGUUUUAACAAAGAUCUGUUUCUGGAUCACAAGUCCAACAGCAUGAGGCAGUUUCUUCAAAGCGCUGUACAUCUGCAGUGCUUCAAACAGUUCGUUGACAGUCGCGUGGACAUUUUGAACAAAGGGCACGAGCCUGAAGACCUUUUGAGGAAGAGAUUCAGAACUGUGAAGACUCUUCAGGUUCCCAUCAUUAUUGCUGCGUGUCGUUGUGUCAUGUGUUUUAUAUUGUACGUAAGUCAUGUGUCUGUCUGUUACAGGGAAGCCCAGGUCCUACCAGCAGUUAGUGGGCAAUAUAAGGGUGAGCUUGUGUUCUGUGGUGUUGUCAAAAGCUUUAAAAUAAUUAAAUUGUUGCUUUUGUUUUGUAUUUCUACAGAAGGGAGGAGGAGCCUGAUCCUCAAUGUGAAGUCAAACAUGAAGGUGCACAGCAAAAUAUCCAUAAGUGUUAAUGGAAGAGUCACUGUGCUCUUAAUGUUCAUAUGGGGUUUUAUAUUUCUUACAGGCCAAAGGUCUCACAAAAUCUGGACUGAAAAAUCUAUUGGUCCAUAAGGUAAACAGAUCCAUACAGUUAUUCUAUCUAAGGUUUUUCAAACGUCAAUCAGGUGUUAGAUAUUGUGACUGCCAACAGGUGAAAAUAAAACCCCCUCAGUUAGUGGACUAUUCGGAAGGAAAUUACCUUUUUAAAGUGGAAAAGUGCAACAAAUUGAUAUAACUGACUAUAAAUGACAGCAGUUCCUGUGGUUUUGCAGAGGCUAUUAUUGAACAGAAGGUGCUUUAGAAUUGAUCAGUCACCAUUUUAUCAAGAUGUUAAGAUCUAAUGUAAGUGGUCAUAAUGUUUUGUGAGACUAGUUCUAAAAUAUUGUCCAUAA
rnacentral:lncRNA from 1 species